GCUCCUCUGAUUCAGCGGCGGACGGGUGAGUAACACGUGGGCAACCUGCCUGUAAGACUGGGAUAACUUCGGGAAACCGGAGCUAAUACCGGAUAACUCACGAGACUACAUGGUCUUAUGAUAAAAGAUGGUUUCGGCUAUCACUUACAGAUGGGCCCGCGGCGCAUUAGCUAGUUGGUGAGGUAACGGCUCACCAAGGCGACGAUGCGUAGCCGACCUGAGAGGGUGAUCGGCCACACUGGGACUGAGACACGGCCCAGACUCCUACGGGAGGCAGCAGUAGGGAAUCUUCCGCAAUGGACGAAAGUCUGACGGAGCAACGCCGCGUGAGCGAUGAAGGCCUUCGGGUCGUAAAGCUCUGUUGUUAGGGAAGAACAAGUAUCAGUUAACUACUGGUACCUUGACGGUACCUAACGAGAAAGCCACGGCUAACUACGUGCCAGCAGCCGCGGUAAUACGUAGGUGGCAAGCGUUGUCCGGAUUUAUUGGGCGUAAAGCGCGCGCAGGCGGUUCUUUAAGUCUGAUGUGAAAGCCCCCGGCUCAACCGGGGAGGGUCAUUGGAAACUGGGGAACUUGAGUGCAGAAGAGAAGAGCGGAAUUCCACGUGUAGCGGUGAAAUGCGUAGAGAUGUGGAGGAACACCAGUGGCGAAGGCGGCUCUUUGGUCUGUAACUGACGCUGAGGCGCGAAAGCGUGGGGAGCAACAGGAUUAGAUACCCUGGUAGUCCACGCCGUAAACGAUGAGUGCUAAGUGUUGGAGGGUUUCCGCCCUUCAGUGCUGCAGCUAACGCAUUAAGCACUC
rnacentral:rRNA from 1 species